UUGUUUCAGUACGUCAACGGCGCCGCCAUCUUAGAACGGUCAUCUUGACUUCACAAGAUCACAGUAAAAGGAGAGCAAAACACUGGAUGUUAAAAUGCCACAAAACUGUGCAGCUUUCCAAUGCAUGACAAGGAGAAGCCUCCAGACGAGGGAGAAGGGGAUCACUUUUCACAAGUUUCCCAGUGAUCCUGUACUUAAAAAGAAGUGGGAACUUGCUGUCAGGAGAGAGGCCUUUAUUGCAAGGCCUUCAACAGUUCUUUGCAGCCAGCAUUUUACAGAGGAUGACUUUGACAGGACUGGACAGACUGUGCGCCUUCGAGAAGGAGCCGUCCCAUCUGUUUUCACAUUUCCAUCACACCUUCAAAAACGACCUGUGACACCGAGAAAAACAGUAACAUCACAAAAAGCUGCUGCCCCCAUGGAGGUCAAAACAGAGCCAGAACCUGUUCAACCACAAAGUCUACCUUGUGAGGAGCACUUGUAUGUAGCACCCUGUUCACUGGACAAGCUGAAGGACAAACUUGCCCAGGCCUACGAAAGGAUUGAGGACCUCGAGCGGCAACUCCGCAAUGCCAAAGACAGAGAGAGGAGGUACAUAGCUAAACUGAAGAGUCUUAUGGGGGAAGGUCCAGUCACAGCAAAACGUCUGCAAAUGUCACUUUAACCAGGACCACUCCUGUUUCCUACCAUCAGAUUAUCAGGGGAUGUCGGCGAGAGCUGUGGCUCCUUUUAUCCUAGUUGGAUGGAUCCACCGACGUGUUGGGGUGAAUGGAACAAGAGCAACUCAACUGCAGCUCAGUUCUGGAGUGUUUUCCAGUAUCUCAUGGUCCAUUUUCGAGAUGCCGCCUACGGACUGUGUUACAGUGCAAGAUGAGACUGUUUUCUUAUCUUGAGUCCCAGCUGAUGAAGACUUCACUUUUUCUCCAUUUGAGGAUAUGUGUGAAACUGUGUUGAACAACCUGAAGUUUCCAUGAGAGUCUUGUGGACAACACACUUCUGUAUAAUGACAGGGUUUAUUGUUAAGUUUUCUCAGCACUUUCUUAUGAUUAACGCAAAAAUAUUUUGGUGUCUGCUGAUGUACCAGUCAUCUGAUACCACCUGUUAAAUCAGGUUAGCACCUCUUCCUGUGUUUGGGGUAAUUUUGGGCUUUUGUAUGCUGAUGUACAGUAUAUACAUAAAGUUUUGAAUUGAUUAUUAUUCUAAUGGGUUUGCUGUGUGACAGUUUUAACAGUAAAAUUGCAGUGACCAGCCAGUUAAACAUUUUGUUUGAAACAUUUCUCUAACCUGCAGAACAGGAACCAUGCUACUAUUUUACUUCCAUCUCAUUUAUAUGGAUUGCUGUUUCAUGAUGUUUCCACUUUUUUAGACUGUGAUCUAUAGGCUUUUAGUCACUGUCUUUAUCCUUUGGGCCCUAUUAGGCUGCAGUGAGGUCACAGUGUUAUGUAUGCAGCCUUAAAAUGCACGCUGGGAACAUUUUCAGUCUACUUCCUUCUGAAAUUGUGUAUACUUGGCUGUAAUGGGAACUGCUACAUGGUGACAACCUUUAAGUCUAAUCAGAAAAAUAAAAAGACUAGG